UACAGAGGGUGCGAGCGUUAAUCGGAAUUACUGGGCGUAAAGCGCGCGUAGGCUGCUUUGCAAGUCGGGUGUGAAAUCCCCAGGCUUAACCUGGGAACUGCAUUCGAGACUGCAUUGCUAGAGUAUGGGAGAGGGAAGUGGAAUUUCCGGUGUAGCGGUGAAAUGCGUAGAUAUCGGAAGGAACAUCAGUGGCGAAAGCGACUUCCUGGACCAAUACUGACGCUCAUGUGCGAAAGCGUGGGGAGCAAACAGG
rnacentral:rRNA from 1 species